AUUGAACGCUGGCGGCAGGCCUACCACAUGCAAGUCGAACGAGAAGCGGACGGGAGAUUUAGGUCUGGGCCACUGACCGAUGGAUGGGUACAACUACUGGAAACGAUAGCUAAUACCGCAUAGCACCGCAUGUACCCGGAUUGGAUUAGCUAGUGGGUGGGGUAAAGGCUGACCUCGGCGACGAUCCCUAGCUGGUCUGAGAGGAUGACCAGCCACACUGGAACUGAGACACGGUCCAGACUCCUACGGGAGGCAGCAGUGGGGAAUAUUGCACAAUGGGCGAAAGCCUGAUGCAGCCAUGCCGCGUGUGUGAAGAAGGCCUUCGGGUUGUAAAGUACUUUCAGCAGGGAGGCGUUACCCGCAGAAUAAGCACCGGCUAACUCCGUGCCAGCAGCCGCGGUAAUAC
rnacentral:rRNA from 1 species